GACGAACGCUGGCGGCGUGCCUAAUACAUGCAAGUAGAACGCACAGUUUAUACCGUAGCUUGCUACACCAUAGACUGUGAGUUGCGAACGGGUGAGUAACGCGUAGGUAACCUGCCUGGUAGCGGGGGAUAACUAUUGGAAACGAUAGCUAAUACCGCAUAAUAUUGAUUAUUGCAUGAUAAUUGAUUGAAAGAUGCUAUUGCAUCACUACCAGAUGGACCUGCGUUGUAUUAGGUAGUAUGUGAGGUAACGGCUCACCUAGGCGACGAUACAUAGCCGACCGCGGAGGGUGAUCGGCCACCCCGGGACUGAGACACGGCCCAAAUUCCUACGGGUGGCAGCGGUAGGGAAACUUCCGCAAUGGACGAAAGUCUGAACGAGCAACGCGGCGUGAGUGAGGAAGGUUUUAGGAUCGGAAAGCUCUGUUGUAAGAGAAGAACGGGUGUGAGAGUGGAAAGUUCACACUGUGACGGUAUCUUACCAGAAAGGGACGGCUAACUACGUG
rnacentral:rRNA from 1 species